UACGGAGGGUGCAAACGUUGCUCGGAAUCAUUGGGCGUAAAGCGCACGUAGGCGGUCCGUUAAGUCGGGUGUGAAAUCCCUCGGCUCAACCGAGGAAGUGCAUUCGAAACUGGCGGACUUGAAUAUGGAAGAGGGUCGUGGAAUUCCCGGUGUAGAGGUGAAAUUCGUAGAUAUCGGGAGGAACACCAGUGGCGAAGGCGGCACUCUGGGCCGGUACUGACGCUGAGGAGCGAAAGCGUGGGGAGCGAACAGG
rnacentral:rRNA from 1 species